CAGAUAGUUGGCUUCUCUUAAGUGGUUGCAAAGAUUCCACAUUGAAGGUUCGGGAUAUCCAGACAGGGAAGCUGAAAAAAGACCUCCCGGGCCAUGCAGAUGAGAUGGUGAGAAAGUUGCCUCUGGUGGUCAGGACAGAGUAUUGAAGUUAUGGAUGGGCUAAAUUAAUUAAAGUAGACUAAAGGGCAUGCAAUUACAUUCUUAAAAUGAGGUUAUUUGGCAAUUAUUCAUCAACACCAAUCAUUUGGGUUCGGCCUGCCUUUAUCUUUAUGCUCUAGGUGAUAUGCUAAGGUGCCAAGAACAAUAGAAUUAAAAUAUCAAUUGCUUGGGUGGUUGGUGGAAAAUGUUCCAUUACAUCAGAUUUGUGAGUGUUUCCGCGGUUUAUGUUAUUUCGUGGAUGAGCAAUUCAGAUUCUAACCUUUCGGUCACAAUGCUCUGUUUGCAGAACAUAUAUCUGGUUGUUUUGUUUGUG